ensembl:lncRNA
ACUGGUGUGCAGUGUGCCGUUUUGAAAACUCCUGUUGCCACCAGGCUGUGACAGAUGUAGUGCGGCACAUAAAAACCAAAGGCCACCAAGAAAAGAAACGGGCUCUCCAGUCCUCACUCAGCGACAAUAUCACAAUAUGCAAUGCCCAUUCCCUCUGUUGGGGGCAUGUCUGCACAAGAUGCUAAGGUAUCCCAUUUUGAUUUGGAGGACAUGAUGGUGGACAUCGGUUACUGGUUCAAGGGUAGCACAAAUCGGAAAGGAUACCCGACAGGUUCAAGAGGCUUGUGCAGACGUUCACUGACCCCAUGACAGAAGUGUACCUGCUGUUCUUUCAAGCCACCGUACCAACUUUCACUACUUUCAACUUGCUUCGGUCAUCAAUAUUUAUGUUAUAUGAUGAGGUGGGAUUGGAUUUUGCUGGUUUUCUAUUGUGUCCCUUGCUGAUUUCUGCAGGGAUCUUCUAAAACAUG